GUGAACAUACACGGUAAAUGUAUUUCCUCGAGGUGACCGUCAGAGGAAACCUUUCACUAUCCGCGUGUAGAGACGUUCGUAAAGUGAUUCGUUUGUGUUUAGAACGACCAAGUAGCAGAACGAAUACGUUAGCGUUAACUUCUCAGAGUGCCUUUGAAGAGCGUGGAAAUAACGUUUGGAAUUUGCGCCCAGUCGCCAUUAGCAACAGUCGGUAGAACUAAUGCGGAGUUCACGCCAUGCGGCUGCUACCGUGGGCUCGAGAUGACAACACGUGACUUUCUAUUUUGGAGCUGUUCAGCAUUCCUUGAUGCCAUUUUAAUUGAGGGAUUCCACCAAGAAUCCUGUUUGUGGUCAACAACUGAUUGCUGGUCCAAAACCACUCUGUAGCUGUCCUCUGGAAUAAAACCCCGGAAAAAGCUAAGGAACUGAAAUCCCAGACAUCAUGACCAUGUUUCCUCCCGGAUGUCCACGAGCACAGUUGUCAGCCCCUUCAACGGAUCUUACGGACAAACUCGGCAAACCACACAGGCAGGCCACACAGCUCUUAAACAUGGCGUGACGAUGCUCUUUAAGCUACCACCCAGGAACCAACGCUGCCUGCAGCUCAACCUGGUUGAUGGAUCUGAGUGCAGCCGCCAACCUCCAAUCACCCCAGACACGAGCCCCAGGACCCUGUACCACCCCAAGGUACAGCUCUGUCACGCUCACACAAGAUAUUUAAAGUGACAUGCAAAGGAAAAGAAGUCAUCUGUGAAAUUCAAAUGGUAAAAUGUUACUGUGCUCAAUAUAGGCAGCAGAUCAGACCUGAUGAGCCUCGAUACAAACAGUUGGCGCACAAUCAGUAAUGAGUGGGCAGAAUGCUGGAUACUGAUACCAUAUUUUUCAGCAUGUCCAUAUGGAAUAUAUGUUACUAACAUAUUUUAAUGAGAAAAGGUAAAUCCCAGCAGGACUGUGAAAAAACCACAGACUGUAAGUAUUGGAAUAAACUGCUGUAGUAUUUGCAGGUAGACUUUCAUAAACAAUUGCCAGAGAAAUUCUUUCCUCCAAAUGGAUAUUUAUUCAAAGAAGGUAUUUCAAAAUAUAUUAAAGCAGAAAACAGUUAUUUAAAAUUGCAAUAUAUAUAUAUAUAUAUAUAUAUACACACACACAUACACGCAUAAAUAUAUUUAUAAUAUUACCAAUAAAUAUGUAAAUGAAAUUGCGUGUGUACAUGGAAUAUUAUGGAGUUGAAUACUACAGAACUGUUUCUGUUAAAGGGGUCAUAUAAUGCGAUUUAAGUUUUUCCUUUCUCUUUGGAGUUUAACUCUAAACUCUUGGUGCAUUAAGAAGAUCUGUAAAAUUUCAAAGACUAAAGUCUCAAAUCCAAAAAUAUAUUCUUUAUCAAAGAAUACACUCCCCUAAAACGGCUUAUUUAAACAUACCCCACAUGUCUACAUCACUAUGUGGAACAUAUAUUAUUUGCAUAAUGCCGCCCAAAUGUUCACGCAAAGAAAGAAGGCACGGUUUCAGUAACCGCAGUUAGUGUUGAAGCAGCCAUGUCAGGGAGAUGCUGUGUGUAUCUAGGCAAAAGGAAAAGCACUUUAUUCGGCCUUCCAAAAGUAGAUGCAUUUACUUACAACAGAACAGCAAUGCAUUUUAUGGACGACCGUUUCGGGAACCUAGGAGAGGAGGUAAUUCUGACUUCGCUAUGACAACCUGAUGUUUCUUAAUCAGCUACUGUAAGUAUAUUUUGUUAUUAGUUUAAUGUGUGUGUGUGUGUGUGUGUGUGUGUGUGUGGACGCGCUGUGAGAGAGAGAAAGAGACAGGGUCCCACAGUGGUGUCAGCUGUCUUAACGUCCACGGCUUGUGUACUGCAAAAACAAAUGAGCUUCGUCACUGUGUCCGUCACAUGACUCUGUUCUUCUUUCAGGCUUGAACUGAUGGUAAAACUAAGGACAUUAUUAACUGUCUUUUCAUUUAUUUUUAUUUAUUUGAAAGAUGAAGCUUGCAAUUAUGGAAAGGGGCAUUACAUUUCUGACAAAUGCUUGCGGUGUUCGGCCAAUCAGAAUGCACUGGUUCAGUUGGCCAAUCAGAGAUGACUGCUCUUGUCAGAAGGAGGGACUUUGUAGAAAACGACAACUUUGAGAGAGGUGGGGCAUAGAAGACCUACAAUAUUGUACAGUAUUUGAAAAAUAGUUUUUUUUGUUUGUUUUUUUUACAUUAGAGCAUGUCAAAAUAUUCUGUUACACCAAAUACACAAAAUAAUGAUCUUUAAAAAGCAUCAUAUGACCCCUUUAAAAAUAAAAACACACCCUACAGGGUAUCUUUGACCCUUUUUGCAUUCUAGUGGUUGGCAGCUUUGGUUGAGUUCUAAUUCUAUGUGAUUUUUCAAUCAAUCAUAUCACGUAUUAUAGACUUCACCUCCCUUUUCAGCUGGACUGUUAUAAGAAAAUUCAUGGAGGUACGAUAAGAUAAUGAGCUAUUAAUAUAUGCCAGGGUGGGGGGUACAUUUGCGUAUUUGAGCUUUAACCCACCUUGUGUGGUUCGACCACGCUGACACAAAUGCAAACAUAUGUGAUGGUCUGUGUCACAUGCGAUCCCGAUGACUUUAGUCUUUGGAGGUCAUUAGCUGGUGUUGGACCAAUUACAUUCUUUGCAUACUGAACUAAUCUGGGGUUCUGCUGUCGAGGUUCCUCACCAUUAGUGUGUUUGCUUAUCCAUUUCCUUCCCUCCCUCCAAUUAACAUGUCCCUCACUCUGGGUUUGUUCUGCCGGUGUGUGUUGCUGUGACGCCUGUCCAUCACCCUGAGUCCCUCUGAAAGGACACUUUAAAAGUGAGAACAAUGCUGCCACCUCUCAAUCACCGCUGAGUGGUAUUGGUACUCAAAUGAGUGUUCUUCCCUGGGGUGUGUUUUGUCUUGCUGGGUCUCUCGGUCUGCUCUGUGAUGAAUCUUAACUGUAAACAGGGCUGUCAUGCGUUACCAUGGCGAGGGCUGAGGCGAGACAGGUGUCAUCAGUGACGUGGUUGAAAGCAGGGCGGAUUAACAAGCACAGGAUUCCAGUAGAGGGGAGUCCACCACUCUGCCCCUCCUGCGCUCUUCUCUGAGCCCUCUGGAAGAGCCAUCAGGCCCCAGAGGCACCCAGCAGGUAGCCUACUCCCUGCAGCCAGGCACAGGGCCUGCCUGCCCUCCUCUUAACCCCAGGAGCAUCGACAGCCAUCCCAACCACCACAGGGAUCCUCUGGCCCAGCCCCCUUGCUCUCCUCUUUCUCUCUUCUCUGCUUUUUCUUUCCCUCCUUCUUUGACUUUUUAUCGUUUGUUUCUUUUUGUCUUCACUAAAGCUCUGACACCUUUCAGACCCCCAGUGCUCUCAUUUUCUCUCUCUCUCAUUUAAAAAGUACUUUAUCGGCAUGACUGUAUUUACAAGUUAUGACAAGAAAUUUCAAUGUACAAUAUAACAACAA